UGUUAUUUUGAAUGCCCGCUUGCAAACUCUUCUACAUUUUGUUAAUAGACCAUCAACAUAAACAGAUAGAUUGUGACCCGUCUAUAACUGUGACUUCCAAUUUCUGUGGGCUGGCAGAACAUUUAACUCUGAAACUAGGAGAGCAGUUUUUUUUUUGUUUUUUUUUUAAUGUGCAAAUUCAACUACAAUUGAAUUUCCUGCCAUUUUCAAGACUUUCCUUAAACUGGUAACCAUCAAGUCCUGAAGGCAUUGCUAGGGCUUAGCUGAGCACUUUUAAUUUUCAUUGAUUGAUACAUUUACUUAAAGAUGUUCUUCACCAAGGAGAACAUGCUCUGAGAUACAACCAACAUUAUUAUAAAAUGGAAGCCAGUGACCAUAAGGGAGAAAAUGAUACUCCUAAACCACGAAGGCCAAAUCAGAAAGCUGCUUCUCACACCAACUAGGAGGAACUCAUUUGUUGCCGCAGCCCCCGCCCCACCGGGUUUACUCUUGCUCUUCCUCAUAAUGUAUUAUUAACCCAAACUUGAGCCUUUUCCACCAGAAACAGUAACCUCUGGCUACAAACAGAUCUGGACAAGUCUGAACUUUACCAAGGGAGGCAGGAACCCCAAGCCCUGCUCAGAGGCGGCUCCCACUUCAAAGCCUCCUUUCAUUUAAAUACAAACAGGGUGAACAACUGGCAAUCUACGAAACAAAUACCAUCCAGAAGGGAAGCUUUUCAGAUGGGCCAGAAUUCCUUCUUCCCUCUCCAACUCCCAUCCCUGCUAUCUUCAGAAGAGGUUUCUUAGUGGAGAUGCACCUACUCCUUGGAAUUGGACACUCCAGGUGUUGGCCCUUCCUUCUGGUGUUGGACUUUCCAGGUGCCAGGCAGGCCCUGCAUCCCACCUGCUCAGCGACUCUCCAAGGCAAGUCCAUUCCUCUGCCCCAAGGAAGAUCUGCCACCAAGCAAGCUUGGCAAGAAAAUACAAGAUGUUUACAAAACUACAAACCAUUUUUCACUAGCUUGCCAGUCCCCUAA
rnacentral:lncRNA from 1 species